rnacentral:rRNA from 1 species
UUUGCCUACGGGACGCAGCAGUGAGGAAUAUUGGUCAAUGGGCGGAAGCCUGAACCAGCCAAGUCGCGUGAGGGAAUAAGGCCCUACGGGUCGUAAACCUCUUUUGCCGGGGAGCAAGGGCGGGGACGUGUCCCGGCCCGGAGAGUACCCGGAGAAAAAGCAUCGGCUAACUCCGUGCCAGCAGCCGCGGUAAUACGGAGGAUGCGAGCGUUAUCCGGAUUUAUUGGGUUUAAAGGGAGCGUAGGCCGGCUUUUAAGUCAGCUGCGAAAGUCCGCGGCUCAACCGUGGAAUUGCAGUUGAAACUG